rnacentral:hammerhead_ribozyme from 1 species
GCACUACUGAGGAGUCCCAUACCAGGACGAAACGGCCGUCCAGUAC